AACGGUUUGAGAAAGCAGACUGACGAAAUCGUAUUUUAGUCUAAAAUUCCCUACAUCAAAGUAGCCUUUGAAAAAAUCAAGUGGGCCAUACCUAAGUUAUUUGAAAGUCAAAAUAUUGUGGUAUACUGCAGCAGCCCAGAUGGCAUUUGGUGAUAGCAAUGAUUUUAUCUUGCCAAGGUUUAUUGUGGCACCAAUUUCAGCAAAUCAAAAGUUGGAUGCUCUCUACCAUCAAGAGACAUUCGGAAGACUGAGGACAAGACAGUUCACAUUCUCAAAACACAAAAGUCCUGGUAACAGUUGUUUGAGUGUGCGUGAAAUGCAAAGGCUCAUCGGGCAAGCAAUUGUUCAUGGGCUGCCAUUGUCUCCUCCAGGUGGCUCGCCAUUCACCACAGAAAACAAGGGUGUGUGUCUCCGGUAUAAUCGUUCAGGUUGAAGCUCAGCACAUAAUGACAAGGUAUACAAUGUGGAUGUGACCAUUAUGCUUCAUGCUGUAGACAGAGAUAUGGGAGGGCAGGAGACGUACUGAUGUCGUGCAUAAAUGAUGUCGUUGCCAACACCCACAACUCAUUCACAUCACCUUUUACACCAACAUUAAAUAUACAGAUAAUCUGAGCUAAAGAGACCCAAGAGAGCAUCAAGGUCGUCAACCUACUGCAGACUGGAGUUACAUUUGGCUUAUGUCCCAAGGCUGACUGUUUCCAUGGAACUCAUUUUGCUUCCUUACCCGUCCUACAUUUUGAUCAACUGACAGCAGAUCAAUUGCAUCUUAAAUAAAACUGUUCUGACAUCUGACAGCAGCUUCGUCAAAAUAGAACUGAACCGCUUGGAAUGAAACCAACUUUAGUCAUAAACACACAUUUUUAAUGUGUGCUUGGACAUUUAGUAGUGAACAGUUUAGUUCUUAACAUUAUCAAAAUAAGCUAUUUUAACAUUUUGAACAUUCAAUUCUCUGCCUAUCCUUCAUGAACAUUUUUUAUGCCUAGAAAUAUCUUUAUAUGAACAAUCAAAUUAAAUAACAGCUUCUCACAACAUGAUAUUUUGUUAAGUUUUAGAAAACAUACUCAAAGACACUUCAGUAAUGAAAUUGCUUUUGAAAAAACUAGGGAUGGCAACGAGUAGUAAAAUUAAUACUCGAGUACUCGGACGAUCGUUCGAUCGAGUACUCGGGUACUCGAUUACUCGGAAAAAUUGAAUAUGUGUUCGCAAAGACAAGAUUGUGUAUACAUGUAUCGUUAAUGACGUAUAUUGUGCGUUGGUCGUAUUAUUGGUUAUUUUCACCUUUAAAGUAAACUUUCAUUACGUAAUUUAACAAAAAAUGAUAUAAACAGAAAACAAAUGUUGUUUCAGGCUUUUAAUUUGUCAUAUUCGUUUCAUUUUAUACAAGUAUGCACUGCAGAAAUGAACAACAAUCAGAAUUACAAUGAACGAAAAUUAUUAGCACACAUAAAAAUAGUGAACGAAAUUCAAUACGAAGUUCAGUUGUUUACUCUACCAAUCAUUUAUUUUAAAUGAUAGUUUUUCGUACUGUGUAAUUGUUGUUUACCUCAUUAAUAUUCAUAAUUCUUGAUUCAAAAUAUCAACCAAUCAAUUGUGAUAAUCAUUGCAAUUUUUUUUAAAAUACGCCCAUUAAGAAAUCAGUUCUCGUAACGGUCGAUACUCUUUCGCUCAUUAGCGUCCAUUGUUUGGUUAAAUUGUUUGGUGAAAGGUCUCUAAUUGGUAUACAAUAGAAUUGUGUAGGUGAAAGUACCGCUAUCAAAACUUCGCUAAUUGACAUCAGUGCUAAUUUGAAAUAGGGGUCCUUUGUUGACAGUUUGCAACUACCACAACAACUGUCAACUAAUUGAUUGAGGUCAAUUGUGUACACAGCUGGGGAUUAGAGGGACCGUAAAUUAUCCUCUUGGCAACUAACCAGAUCUGAUAUUUUGUCUGUAAAUCGUGUAUUUGGUGAUUUUUAUAGAUUUUAAAAAAAAAUCCGAGUACUCGGUUACUCGUUGCCAUCUCUAGAAAAAACGUUUCAUUAGUUUACAGUAUGAAAUAAAUAGGUAUUUCACCAGCAAAGAGAACCUCGUAACCUGAAAAUACAUGAAAUUUAACUUCAAUAACAUUAUUUCUAAAAACAGGAAAUAUUCACUAUUACUAUGUGUUUUGAAAUUUGUUUGUACAAAUCGCUGCAAGUAUAUCAACUUAUAUUGUUCUUUCAAUUGUAUCAUGUAUAUUUAAUUGUUUGCACAUAACUAAACCACAAAUGAUUAAGUUUUGAUCUCAUUUUAUGUUUCUCUUGUCUAAUACAAAUGUUACUCAAUAGAUUUUUAUGAUGGGUAUACUUUCUAGUUUUUCAUGUAGUAUGUGAUAAUUGUCAGCUGCAUCAUUUCAUUCAGGUAAAUCUGUAUCUAAAUUUCUUUGCAAGCCAUCGACCCAUUCUUUGCCUCAAAUGUAAUGAUACAUGUAUAUUUUAUGUGGUUGCAGUCAGAACAGGUAUUAAUAUUUAUGAACCCGAUAGUCAGUACACGAAGUGCUCAAGGUGAGCUAUUGUGAUCGCCCUGUGUCUGUCAUCAACAAUUUGAGUGUUAACACUCUAGAGGGCACAAUUUACGCACAAUCUUAAUGAAACUUGGUCAGAAUGUUACCCUCAAUAAAAUCUUGGACGAGUUCGAUAUUGGGUCAUCUAGGGUUAAAAACAAAUCACCAGUUCAAAUUGAAGGAAAAGCUUGUUAACACUAUAGAGGUCACAUGUAUGACUGUAUCUUCAGGAAUCUUGGUCAGAAUGUUAAUAUUAAUAAUUUCUAGGUCAAGUUCGAAUCUGGUUCAUGUGCAGUCAAAAACUAGGUCACCAGGUCAAAUUGAAGGAAAAGCUUGUUAACACACUAGAGGUCACAUUUAUAACUGUAUCUUAAUGAAAGUUGGUCAGAAUGUUUAUAUUAAUAAUCUUAAAGUCAAGGUAAAAUCUGGGUCAUGUGCGGUCAAAAUUUAGGUUACCAGGCCAAAUCAUAGGAAAAGCUUGUUAGCACUCUAGAGGUCACAUUAAUGACUGUAUGUUCAUGAAACUUAAUAAGAAAGUAUAUAUUGUUAGCUUUAGGCCAAGUUCGAAUCUGGGUCACGUGUGUUCAAAAACAAGAUCACCAGGUCAAAUUUAAGGAAAAGUUUGUUAACACUGUAGAGGUCACAUUUAGAAUUGUAUAUUCAUGAAAGUUGCUCAAAAUGUUUAUAUCAAUAAUCUCUAAGUCAAGUUUGAAUACGGGUCAUGUGAGGUCAAAACUAGGUCAUUAGGUCAAAUCAUAGAAAAAGCUUAUUAGCACUCUAGAGGUCACGAUAUGACUGUAUGUUCAGUAAAAACUAGGUCACCAGGUCAAAUAAUAGGAAAAGCAAGUUAACACUCUAGAGGCCACAUUUAUGAGCAUAUGUUCAUGGAACUUGAUCAGAAUGUUAUUCUUGCUGAUCUUUAGGUAGAGAUUGAAACUGGGUUAUCAGAGGUCAGAAACCAGGCCACUAGGGUCAAAUCAUAGAAAAACUCUAUAGUGUAAACACUGUAGAGGUUACAUUCUCUCUUUGAUCACCAUGAGACUAUGUCAGAAUGUUUGUUUUUAUGAAGUCUAUGUCACACUUGAAUUGGAUCAGUUGAGCGAUAUAGGGCCUUCAGGGCCCUCUUGUUGAAAAUAAAAUUUUCAUUUGCUCAAUUGCUAUGGUAAUUUUUUUUAAGUUUCAAAAAAUCAAUCUUGUGAUAUAGCUUUCGUGUUGCAUCCACCAUGACCCCAAGCCUUACCUUUUCUUAAACAUCUGAAUAUUCAAGUAAAGACUACUAAAUAUCAUGAUUUUCUGUUUUGUCAAUUCACAAAAAAUUAACAGACAAGGGCUGAUAUCCAAAUGGUACUCAUUGUGUACUGCCAGAAAUGAAUAAUUUUAUGUCAAUAACUUGAGCACACCUCACCUGUCAACAGUCAUUAAUUCUUUAAUAAUUACUUUAUUGUUGACAUACAUUCAAGUAAGCCUUCCAUUCAACUGCAAAUAAUCUAAUAAACUCUGGUAUGAUUGUUGUUUGUUAAAAAUUUCUCUUUUCUAGCUGUUGUGAAUUGACUCAUUUUCUAUCCGAUAUAGAUCAAUAAACAAACACCAGAGUUCAA